rnacentral:lncRNA from 1 species
AUAAUUAAUUAUUAAAAUUAGAAAUUAAAAAUUAUUUUUUUAAAAUUUUGUAUCGUUUGGUUCGAGGAUAAGCAAAAAGUGGGUACUCCGGGGAUAGGUAUAAAUUGAGGUAUAAGUGAGAAUUAGAUCAAUUUUGUUCGUGAAAAUAAGUCAAAUAACGUUUGGCUAAGAAAGAUGGAAUAAAAAUUAAAAUUGAUAGUUAUAAAUAAAAAAUAAUAAUAUUAUUCUUUUCUUUAUAUUAGAAUUUAAAUUUUUAUAUUUUAUAUUUAUAUUUUAAAAUUUAAAAUAUAAACUUUUAAAUUUUAAAAUUU